UACAGAGGGGGCAAGCGUUGUCCGGAAUUACUGGGCGUACAGCGCGCGCAGGCGGUUGCCGACGUGCCGUGUGACAAACGGGGGCUCAACCCCCGAGGGCCACGGUAAACGGGGCGACUGGAGGUAGGGAGAGGGAUGUGGAAUGCCCGGUGGAGCGGUGAAAUGCGUAGAGAUCGGGAGGAACACCAGUGGCGAAGGCGGCUUGCUGGGCCGGACCUGACGCUGAGACGCGAAGGCGUGGGGAGCGAACGGG
rnacentral:rRNA from 1 species